GCCCCCAUAGCUCAGCUGGAUAGAGCAGUGGCCUUCUAAUCCACCGGUCGCGCGUUCGAAUCGCGCUGGGGGCA
rnacentral:tRNA from 1 species